rnacentral:rRNA from 1 species
GAGUUUGAUCAUGGCUCAGAACGAACGCUGGCGGCAGGCCUAACACAUGCAAGUCGAGCGAGACCUUCGGGUCUAGCGGCGGACGGGUUAGUAACGCGUGGGAACGUACCCUUUUCUACGGAAUAGCCUUUGGAAACGAAGAGUAAUACCGUAUACGCCCUUUGGGGGAAAGAUUUAUCGGAGAAGGAUCGGCCCGCGUUAGAUUAGAUAGUUGGUGGGGUAAUGGCCUACCAAGUCUACGAUCUAUAGCUGGUUUUAGAGGAUGAUCAGCAACACUGGGACUAAGACACGGCCCAGACUCCUACGGGAGGCAGCAGUGGGGAAUCUUAGACAAUGGGCGCAAGCCUGAUCUAGCCAUGCCGCGUGAGUGAAGAAGGCCUUAGGGUCGUAAAGCUCUCUCGCCAGGGAUGAUAAUGACAGUACCUGGUAAAGAAACCCCGGCUAACUCCGUGCCAGCAGCCGCGGUAAUACGGAGGGGGUUAGCGUUGUUCGGAAUUACUGGGCGUAAAGCGCACGUAGGCGGAUUAGAAAGUUAGAGGUGAAAUCCCAGGGCUCAACCCUGGAGCUGCCUUUAAAACUCCUAGUCUUGAGUUCGAGAGAGGUGAGUGGAAUUCCAAGUGUAGAGGUGAAAUUCGUAGAUAUUUGGAGGAACACCAGUGGCGAAGGCGGCUCACUGGCUCGAUACUGACGCUGAGGUGCGAGAGUGUGGGGAGCAAACAGGAUUAGAUACCCUGGUAGUCCACACCGUAAACGAUGAAUGCCAGUCGUCGGGUAGUAUACUAUUCUGUGACACACCUAACGGAUUAAGCAUUUCCGCCUGGGGAGUACGGUCGCAAGAUUAAAAAUCAAAGGAAUUGACGGGGGCCCGCACAAGCGGUGGAGCAUGUGGUUUAAUUUGAAGCAACGCGCAGAACCUUACCAACCCUUGACAUACUAGUCGUCGCUCCAGAGAUGGAGCUUUCAGCUAGGCUGGACGAGAUACAGGUGCUGCAUGGCUGUCGUCGGCUCGUGUCGUGAGAUGUUCGGUUAAGUCCGGCAACGAGCGCAACCCACAUCCCUAGUUGCCAGCAGGUUAAGCUGGGCACUCUAUGGAAACUGCCCGUGAUAAGCGGGAGGAAGGUGUGGAUGACGUCAAGUCCUCAUGGCCCCUACGGGUUGGGCUACACACGUGCUACAAUGGCAGUGACAAUGGGUUAAUCCCCAAAAACUGUCUCAGUUCGGAUUGGGGUCUGCAACUCGACCCCAUGAAGUCGGAAUCGCUAGUAAUCGCGUAACAGCAUGACGCGGCGAAUACGUUCCCGGGCCUUGUACACACCGCCCGUCACACCAUGGGAGUUGGUUCUACCCGACGACGCUGCGCUAACCCUUCGGGGAGGCAGGCGGCCACGGUAGGAUCAGCGACUGGGGUGAAGUCGUAACAAGGUAACC